CUGCUAGGGGCCAUGUGGAAGUAAAGAGGAACUCAGCUGCCUCUGAAGAGCAUUCUAGAUCAUGAGGAAGACACCAACCAAAGAAAGCGGAUGGUCGUUAAGGGGGGAAAGUCCUUCGUGGGAAUCACUGUUUCUGUUACUUAGUAUUUUGCAUCCCCACCAAGGGACCACGAGAUGACAAGAGGGAACAAAAAUCUAGCACCAGCAAGGAACAUCUAGAAAUUUCAUCAUGCCUCUUGGCCUCCGAGACUCUUAUAAAUAUUAAUUUAACUUGCUGCAUAA